CAGCUGGACCCAGAUCAGCCUGACCUCACAAUCCGACAACGGACCGGCGUGAAAUGGAAGUCGACGCUUCUGUAGAGAUGGUUCACCGGCAGGUUUAGCUAGCUAGUCAGCUACGUGCUAACGCCGAAUAUAUGCAGGCUUGACUGUGUUUGGAAGUGGAGCGGUAUUUCUGGCCGGACAUCUCUUGGACAUGGAUUACAAAGGAGGAGCGACGCAGCCAGUCAAUCGGCCUCCUGCCUUCCCUCCUGAAUGAAUUUACUUCAAUUAGAGGCUGCAAUCGAUCACAAGAGGCC
ensembl:lncRNA